rnacentral:rRNA from 1 species
AUUGAACGCUGGCGGUAGGCCUAACACAUGCAAGUCGAGCGGCUGCACAGUACUUGCUUCUGGUUUCAGCGGCCGACUGGUGAAUAGUGGCUAGAAACCUCCCUGUUUGCGGUUGAUUACGUCCGGACAUGGGCGCUCUUACCGUAUUCCCGCUGAGGGCCUACGUGUGAGAUCAUCGGAUCUUCCGCUCUCACAUGAUCCUAGGUCGGAUUAGCUAGUUGGCGGGGUAAAGGCCUACCAAGGCGACGAUCCGUAGCUGGUCUGAGAGGAUGAUCAGUCACACUGGAACUGAGACACGGUCCAGACUCCUACGGGAGGCAGCAGUGGGGAAUAUUGGACAAUGGGCGAAAGCCUGAUCCAGCCAUGCCGCGUGUGUGAAGAAGGCCUUCGGAUUGUAAAGCACUUUAAGUGGGAAGGAAGGGCAGUAAGUUAAUACCUUGCUGUUCUGACGGUACCAACAGAAUAAGCACCGGCUAACUUCGUG